rnacentral:rRNA from 1 species
AGUGAACGCUGGCGGUAGGCCUAACACAUGCAAGUCGAACGGCAGCACAGUAAGAGCUUGCUCUUACGGGUGGCGAGUGGCGGACGGGUGAGGAAUACAUCGGAAUCUACUUUUUCGUGGGGGAUAACGUAGGGAAACUUACGCUAAUACCGCAUACGACCUACGGGUGAAAGCAGGGGAUCUUCGGACCUUGCGCGAUUGAAUGAGCCGAUGUCGUAUUAGCUAGUUGGCGGGGUAAAGGCCCACCAAGGCGACGAUCCGUAGCUGGUCUGAGAGGAUGAUCAGCCACACUGGAACUGAGACACGGUCCAGACUCCUACGGGAGGCAGCAGUGGGGAAUAUUGGACAAUGGGCGCAAGCCUGAUCCAGCCAUACCGCGUGGGUGAAGAAGGCCUUCGGGUUGUAAAGCCCUUUUGUUGGGAAAGAAAAGCAGCAGGUUAAUACCCCGCUGUUCUGACGGUACCCAAAGAAUAAGCACCGGCUAACUUCGUG